CGGUGUAGAUGGGGCAUGUUGGUCCGGGUGGGACUAGUGUAGAUGGGGCAUGUUGGUCGGGGUGGGACUAGUGUAGACGGGGCAUGUUGGUCGGGAUAGGAACUAAUUUGAGGUAGGACAUUCUUGCUAUUGAGGGAGCCCAGCGUAGGUUCACCAGGUUAAUUCCCGGGAUGGCGGGACUGUCAUAUGCUGAGAGAAUGUGGAGCGGCUGUGGGCUUGUACACUCUGUGGAGUUUAGAAGGAUGAGAGGGCAUCUCAUUGAAACAUAUAUGUGAGAUUGUUAAGGGUUUGGACACGCUAGAGGCAGGAAACAUGUUCCCGAUGUUGGGGGAGUCCAGAACCAGGGGCCACACACACACACACAGUUUAAGAAUAAGGGGUCGGCCAUUUAGAACGGAGACGAGGAGAAACUUUUCCACCCAGAGAGUUGUGUGAAUCUGUGGCCAUUUGGGACUGAGAUGAGGAGGGGCUGAGGUGUUGGGGGCUAUGGGUGAGUGGUGGAGGUGGAAUAUUGAGUUGGGGGCUAUGGGUGAGGUGGAACAUUUGGGACGGAGACGAGGAGAGACUUUUCCACCCAGAGAGUUGUGUGAAUCUGUGGCCAUUUGGGAUGAGGAGGGGCUGAGGUGUUGGGGGCUAUGGGUGAGUGGUGGAGGUGGAAUAUUGUGUUGGGGGCUAUGGGUGAGUGGUGGAGGUGGAAUAUUGAGUUGGGGGCUAUGGGUGAGGUGGAACAUUUGGGACUGAGACGAGGAGAAACUUUUCCACCCAGAGAGUUGUGUGAAUCUGUGGGAUAGAGAUAGAUAGAUAGAUAGAUAGAGAUAGAUAGAUAGAUAGAUAGAUAGAUAGAUAGAUGGAUAGAUAGAUAGAUAGAUAGAUAGAUAGAUAGAGAUAGAUAGAUAGAUAGAGAUAGAUAGAUAGAGAUAGAUAGAUAGAGAUAGAUAGGUAGA